GAGACUUGGAGCGCUUCCUGCAG
rnacentral:piRNA from 1 species